CGCGUAGGCGGCUCUGUUUGUCGCGUGUGAAAGCCCCGGGCUCAACCUGGGAGGUGCGCGCGAGACGGCGGGGCUGGAGUUCGGGAGAGGAGCGUGGAAUUCCCAGUGUAGAGGUGAAAUUCGUAGAUAUUGGGAAGAACACCGGUGGCGAAGGCGGCGCUCUGGACCGAGACUGACGCUGAGGCGCGAAAGCGUGGGGAGCAAACAGGAUUAGAUACCCUGGUAGUCCACGCUGUAAACGAUGUGUGCUAGACGUUGGGAGGCUUAGCCUCUCGGUGUCGCAGCCAACGCGGUAAGCACACCGCCUGGGGAGUACGGCCGCAAGGUUAAA
rnacentral:rRNA from 1 species